AGGGCUUCACCUGCUGAAAUAUGUCUUCCUGAAACAAAAGGAAAUAAAGUAAACCACUCAACAAUGUGAGGAUGAUCCAAGGCAUUGCUCUCUCUGGAGGGGAAGGUGGCCAUUCCUGGAUAUACCAAUUAGAAUUUUUCUCAAACGGAACCUUUCUGAGAUGUCAUUUUAAAGCCAACCCAGGGCCACCAGAUCACUCUGUCCACUGAGGGAGACAGGGGUGUGAUUCCUGCGCCAGCUUGCUUGCUGAUCCACAGGGGCCUUCGCCAUGCAAAUCAAAACUUGUCGAUCUCGGAGUUUAUGCUCGUUCUCAUCACGCUAAAACAGCAGCAUCUUCUGAAUCAGAGCUGUGGGCAAAACCCAACCAAGGCCCCUUGUGUUUCUUCCUGAUUUUUCUCAAGGCACUCUUGCCUUCCUGACGAAUGUCUUCACUUUCCUCACAGGCCUAAUCCUGCAGACCUCAGGGCUUGUAAACCCAGUCCCUGCCCCGUUAUUCCCUCACACACUUUGUGCUUCUGUUUCCGGUUUGCCUUUGCUUUGCGCUUCUGUAGGAUGCUGAAUUACAGGCAUUCUCUGAAAAAAUCCAAACCACCUCCAAAACUUCAUGGGCUUUUGAAAUAUGUUUGUCAUUAAACAGUGUGUAAAUUGA